ensembl:lncRNA
CCCAGAGUCUGCCCCACCCACUGCAGCACUGAUUUAAUCCAGCUCAUCCAGAGCAGGCAGCUUGCCCUAGGGACUGGCCCCACACAACAGCAAGCCUUCAGGGAACUUGUGGGCCUGCAUAGGCUGGGUGCCUAGAUUCUCUGCAGCAGGGGAUUCCGAGUAACUUUCUUGUGUUCACAAAGAAAGUAAGCAGGAGAACAAGGAAAAACUCAUUCCAUGGGCUUCUGAAAUCCCACCUGGAGAUUUGGGCCCCCUAAGCAAUUGAACGUUUUCUCUGUGUGGACAUCCACCAGUCAAUGGCACUGCACCGUCAAACACAUGACAGAGAAGUUUGCAACAGGAGACUUGAGUGUGAGAUAUGACUUUUCUGUAUUCUGUCUGUUAUUUUAGGCAAGUAACUUUGUGUUUCUGAAUCUCAGCGAACUUAGUUGGAAAAUGGGAAUAACAAUCAAACCUACUCAGUUUGAGUUCUCUUGAGAAUUGCAGGAGUUAUCAUAUGUAGAUGUAACUUAUAAAGUAAUAUGCAGAUAUCUUAUUAUUAUUAUAAGCUGGUUAAUUAUUCAAAUCAAUAUACUUAAAAACUAAAAUAUUUUAUACUGUGUCUCCUUUAUAGUAAUUUGCAGUCCUUAUAAAGCUGAUGUUAAUGUAUUAUGGUGGGAAAAUGUUGCUCUAGAAAUCUGCACACAGGAUUGUUUUUGCACACUAGUUUUUCCUACUUCUAUAUAGUUCCCAACAGUGAGGAUAUUCAUGGCUGCCUUAAUUGCUAUUGCUAUGUUCACUUAAUACAUGUGCUAUCAACAUGAUUAAAGAUUUGUUUUAAAAAAGUCGCUUCUUUGAAGUAUUUGGUGGUGAUAUUAAAUUAUUAUUAUUUUUGUCUUAAUUGUCUUGUAAAAUUGUCUCAUAUGAUGUCCUUAAUGAAUUGAUGCUUGUCUAACAGGUAUGUGGUCUUUCAAGUUCUCUUGGCAUCCGAAAGUUGGCAUCUGCUCCCUUAUACACAUCAUCCUCGCCAUUAAACAUAGUGCAAGCGAUUAAAGCUGCUAGGGUAAAAAACAAGUUUCAGUAUAACUAAAAUGGGAUUUCUUUUACUAACUAAAAUAAAGGAGAAUGUAAUAAAGUACUUUUGGAGAAAUAUUUUGUUCUAUAUUUUAAGAGAAAUGUAUGAGGGAUUGAAGAAAAAAUGAUCAUUAUAAGAAUAAGUUUUGAACUGUUUGAGCUACAGAAACGUGUCUUUUUGGCCUUUUUAUUUAGCCAUUUGUCUCAACAGACGUAAAACUUUUUAAAAAUAUGUUUAUGAUUAAAUUUUCAUAAUAUGAAAAUGGCGUGGGGACUAUAAAGAUGAAUAUGGAAAAACUUACAUGUAUUUGGCAUUACAAUAUGCCUGAGUGCUUUACAUAUCUUAUCUGGUUUGAUUCUCACACACACAUAGGGAUAAAGAAGCAAACUUAGAAAAGUAACAGUUGGUAGUGGGACAUGGAGAUGAGGCUAGGUCUGCCUGAUCUUAAACUUCCCAGCUCCCAGAACUGUGAGAAACAAGUUUCUCCCGUUGAAGACACUCAGUCUAUGGUUUUCCAUCAUAGCAGCCCGAGCUGACCAAGACACUCUCCCUGCUCUGCAGCCUGGAAACUCUCUUCAAUAGCCUGGAAAAUCACAGAUCUCAUCUCACUUGUCUUACUUCUCUCAAGGAUCACUGUCCAGCUCUGCCUUUUGUCAAUGUCUGAAAACCGUUAGUUGUUCCAUAUAUUUUGUCUAGCUUUUCAGUUCUUGAAUGAAAUAGGAUAAAUUAGUUCCUGAUACGCCAAUGAUAGCCAGAAGCAAAAGAUGACAGGUUGAACUUUACAAGCUUCCAUUAUCACAAUCAAGACAGCUCUAUUCUUUUGUGUCAAAAUGCACCCUAGACAUUUUAGUUUUCUCUGAACACUUCGUUUAACUUAUCUAAAGUCAUGUAGGCCAGGUUUUUCCCUUAGGAGCAAAGACCUGCUCCCUGGGGGCUCUGCAUUCCUGGAUACAUAAUGGGUGUGGUCAUUUUAUUUGGUUCAGUGAUCUGCAGUACACAUUUAUUGACCUUCAAUUAAUCCUCUGGUUUUCAGUCCCACUUUUCCCUCCUGCCUCUUGCUUUACCUGCUGCCUCUCAGCUCAGAGACUCUCCAGAGUUCUUUGAAGUGAAUUGGCUUCCCCUCACUUUGUAGCUUCUUCUGAGCAUUCUCAAGGCUUCAGUGUCUCUGCCUGCUCCGUCUAUUAACCUGCCUGUUUUCUUAUUUCCAAAGGUGGGUUAAGAUGUUUCAUUCAUUCUCAUUCUUUCAGUGUUUAUUUUUUUCUCCAUUUCUUUUAAUUUGUGAGGGGAGGUGGUACAUUUUGGUGAUGCAGAAUGUAAAGCGUGUGCCCAUCCAUUAUCAUCUCUUGGCUUUUCAAAAUAGACUCCCUUCAAUUUGUGUCACACCACUGAUUUUUUCUACUUUAGGGGAGUUUAAAUUUAUUACUGUUUACAAAUUUUAUUUUCACGUUUCUUUACGGAUUGGAAUGGAUGCCUAUUUCCAUCUAAGAUGAUUUCAUUCUUGUUUCCUGUGUCAUGCUUUUCACUUAUGAUAUAAAGUGCUUGUGCUGCAUUGGAUUACCCACUGAGAUAUCCUGGGAAUCCAACUUUUCUGACCCCAAUCCCAACACCCUCACCUCCUCCAGUAACCAGCUGUUCUUAUUCUCAUACUCAGGGGAUAUAUCAUCUGGGUAAAUAAAUUUAUGGAUCCUUCUCUCCUCUUGAGCAAGGGCAACUUCCACAUUUUUCAAGCUUCAGCCCCCUUCAGAAACUCAAAUUGAAAUCACAUAUGGUUCCAGUCCCAGAAGAGGUAGGAGUUCUGUCAGCUAGACUGUUUCUGGAAUAAAGGUUUAGACCAUUGAGCCACCUCAAACACUGAUUCUAUGUAAACUGGAGUAAUAGGGUCAAGGAAAUAUUGCUCUGAAAGUCUAGUCAUUCUAAAUCACACCUAAUAAUGACUGCUCACAUUCCAUAAAGUGAGCCCCAAAGAUGAGGACAAUAACUGAAGUUAGGAAGCAAUUCUUAAUUAAACACAAAUCUCAGCUAAUGGCUGUUUUACAAGAAGUAUAUACUUCAACAAUAUGUGGGUUUGUAAAGGUAAAGCCAUAGAAGGGAUAUUUUAUAUGUUUCAUUGAAUUAUUUUUCACCAACAAUCCCAAAGCUAAUUCUUACUCUUUUUCUCUUAGUAAGCUUUGAUAGCUUCUACUUGAACAUUCGAUUACCUUAUCUUUUUUUGUUGUUGUUGCAAAAAUAAGAUGGAUCUGCCCUAUGUGGAAGAAAACAACUAUCCUGAGAUUAUAGCUGAAGGUCCAGCAAUUUGUAAAGUGAGUGCAUCUUAUUGCACCCUCUGCUCUCCUGAUGAGCGAGAAGAUGACAGAUCUAGGUCCAUAGUCCUCUGCCCAGCCUGCAUAUGGGUGUGAAGGGAAAGACUAGGACCAAAACUAUCAGGGUCACAUCCCUUUUCUUAGCUGUGCGAUACUGGGGGAGAGGUACAAACUGAGAAUAGGAGUCAUCACACAGAUAUGCUUCUCCUCUUUUCAUCUUCAGUCUUCACAUCUCUAAUACACCAAGGGAUCAUAAAAUUCUGCAACCACAUAAAAGUACCCUCAGGAAAAAACAUUAAGCUACACUUUCCCUGAGAUAUCUCACCCCUCUAUCAGGAUUCAGUUAUGCAGAUGAGUCUAUUCUUUUCCUCAAGGCCAAUCUUGCCUCGGAGGAGUUCAUGUUGUCCAGGAGUCCAAAAAGCCUCUUUUCUCAGACGUUUUGAAAUAAGACAACUUCUAAUGAGUUUCUGGAAUUAGGCAUAGUAAUAUAAAAAGGCAUAGUGUGGCAGAUUGUAUUUUCUAAAGAAGACCUCAAUGAUGUUACUCAUCUGGCAUACUUUUCUUGAGUGUGGCCUUCAUAUUCCUCCUGUUCAUUUCUAUUGCACUUGGGUGGCCUUGCAACCACAAUAGGGCAUGGCAUACUCCAAUAGAGCAUGGCAGAAGGGAGGGUACAACUGAGUCAUAAAUGGUGAUGCAUCUUUGUCCUUGUUGGCUAAAGCAUUUACAUUUGGAGCCCUGAGCUUCUGUGUAAGACAUGUGACUAUAUUGUCAAAGGCAUCCUGUGAGGAAGCCCAGACCAAAUGGAGAGACCACAUAUUGUUGAUAUAGUAGAAACACCAGAUGGGGUCUCAGCUAACAGCCAGUGUCAAACACAAACAUGUUAUCAUAGUCUUUUAAAAAAAUGGUGUACACAUAGUUGAAUAUCCAUAUGCAAAAAAACACCCACAACUCAUACCAUGUACAAAAAUUAACUCAUCAAAAUGAAUCUAAAUGUAAAAUUUUUAACUAUAAAACUUCUAGAAGAAUACACAGGAGAAAAUCUUUGUGAUUUUGUCUAAUUUCUUAGACAAGACACAAAAAUAAAACAACCUUAUAGAAGGAAAAAAAGACGUAAUGGACUUCAUCAAAAGUAAGAAUUCAUAGUAUACUUUCAAGUCAGGGAUUGUGAUAUCUCCAGCUUUAUUCUUUUUUCUCAGGAUUGUUUUGGCUAUUUGGGGUCUUCUGGUGUUCCAUAUAAAUUUUAGGAUUCUUUGUUCUAUUUCUGUGAAGAAUGUCAUUGGGAUUCUGAUUGGGAUUCCCUUUAAUCUGUAUAUUGCUUUAGGUAAUAUAGACAUUUUAACUAUGUUUAUUCUUCUAAUCCAGGGCAUGGAAUAUCUUUCCAUUUCUUGAUGUCUCCUUUGAUUUCCUUCAAUAAUGUUUUAUAGUUUUCAGUAUACAGGUCUUUCACCUCCUUGGUUGAAUUUAUUCCUAGAUGUUUUAUUACUUUUGUUGUGAUUGUAAAUUCAAAAUAUACUACAAAACUAUAGUAAUCAAAACAGCACAGUGCUGGCAGAAAAACAGACACACAGAUCAAGGGAACAGAAUUGAAAGCUCAGAAAUAAAACCACACAUCUAUGGAUAGCUAAUCUUCAACCAAGGAGCCCAGAGCAUACAAAGGAGAAAGGAAAGUCUUUUCAAUAAAUGAUGUUUGGAAAACUGGACAGCCAUGUGCAAAAGAAUGAAAGUAGGGGCCACCCCCAUGGCAUAGUGGUUAAGUUAGGCAUGCUCUGCUUUGGUAGCCUGGGUUUGUGGCUUCUGAUCCUGGACACAGACUUACACCACUUGACAUACAUGCUGUGGUGAUGACCCACAUACAAAAUAGAGGAGGAUUGGCAUAGGUAUUAGCUCAGGGCUAAUCUUCCUCAGCAAAACAAACAAAUAAACAAAAGAAUGAAAGUAGACCAUUAUCUUACACCAUAUACAAAAGUAACUCAAAAUGGAUUAAAGAAUUGAAUAUAAGACCUAAAACCAUAAAAGUCCUAGGAAGAAAUAUAGGCAGUAUACUCUUUGACAUUGGUCUUAGCAGUAACUUUUCUAAUAUCAUGUCUACUCAGACAUCGGAAACAAAAGAAAAAUAAAUGGGACUACAUCAGACUAAAAAUAUUCUGCAAGGCAAAGGAAACCAUCAACAAAACAAAAAGACAGCUCACCAACUUGGAGAAAAUAUUUGCAAAUCAUAUAUCUGACAAGGGGUUAAUUUCCAAAAUAUGUUAACUCAUAUAACUCAACAACAAAAAACUGGGCAGAGGAUAUGAACAGACAUUUUUCUAAAGAAGAUCUACAGAUGGCCAACAGGCACAUGUAAACAUGUUCAACUUCAUUGAUUAUUAGGGAAACACAAACCAAAACUACAAUGAGCUAUCACCUUACACCUGUCAGAACGGCUAUAAUUAAGAAGUCCAAAAAUAACAAAUGUUGGAGAGAAUGUGGAGAAAAGGGAACUCUCAUACAGUGCUGGUAGGAGUGCAAACUGGUGCAGCCAUUAUAGAAAACAGUAUGGAGAUUCCUCAAAAAAUUAAACAUAGAAGUACCAUACAAUCCAGCUAUCCCAGUACUGGGUAUUUAUCUGAAGAAUAUGAAAUCAACAAUGAUUUAUGCAUCCCUAGGUUCAUUGCAGCAUUAUUCGCAAUAGCCAAGACAUGGAAACAACCCAAAUGCCUACCAACUGAUGAAUGGAUAAAGAAGAUGUGGUAUAUAUAUACAAUGGAAUGUUAGCCAUAAAAAAGAAAAAAAGUCCCAUUUGCAACAACAUGGAUGGAAUUUGACAGUCUUAUGCUCAGCGAAACAAGCCAGACAGAGAGAGAAAAACACUGUAUGAUUUCACUCACAUGUGGAAGAUAAACAUAGGGAUAAGGAGAACAGAAGAGUGGUUACCAGAG